AUUAUCGAGCCUAACCUGGUGUAAAGACAGUAUCACAUAAUGUAGCUAAUGUAGCAUUUGCAAUUCAAACGUCAGGAUGUUUAUAUAUUGUAGGAAUAAUUUUUACAUUUCAAAUGAGUGACCUAGCAGCUUUGCAGAAUUUUUUCUCGGAGGGCAUAAUUCAGUUUUUUAAUAUUAUCAGGACCAAAUUUUCUUCAUAGUGUUUAUGUCCUCAGGAAGCGCGAGUUCAGUUGCUGUGCACUUAAAGAAAAACGUGUUGUUUUCUAAUAUUACGUCUUAGACACUUGGUAUUGCCUGCUGCCUAAUCAGUAAGAUGGUGUAUUAUGUUAUGCAUGCACUCAUAGCGAGCUUGAACUAUUCAAGGCCCAUGUACUGAACCUGAGCUGAUUAGGCUACAAGUACUAAAGCAGAUCGGGUGUUAUCUGUCGUUACGGAAGUUUCAGUUGUCUGUUUAAUUAAAUUAUUUUGACAAUAAUCGCUUAGAGCGUGUCAACCUUUAACGAUAAUUUGUAUAACAACGGUUCUUAAAAAGAGUUUUCUUAUUGGAUUGUGGAUUCACACACCCAGUAACUCAACACCUUUGGCCCGCAUUUUUUUAUAUAAGAUAGGAUGUUGAAUUGUCCGAUAUGUUUUUCUAUUUGCCUAUACCUUGUGUGUGUGUGUGAGCACUCUCGUAGAACGUUUCACACACUGUCAUCUUCAUGCAAGCAAGCUGGAAGACCGAUUGAGCGAGAUUGGCCGUUUAGCUUUCAAGAUCGAACGCUGCCGACUCGGCAGUCCAGCAGCGAGAUGAGCGACCAUGCGUUAUGCAGUCUUCUUUUAGUUGUUCUUGUUCUGCUUGUUCUUUACUGCCCGUUUGACGUCUUAAUUCGCCGACUGUUCACGCCUUGUGUGCGGUUCGUUUUGGCCCGAUAGUGAUUUUACCAACUUGUAUUUGCCAGCCGACUAUCGUCACGAGUAUAAACUAGUCAUCCUCUGGAUUUCAACACGGACACAGGGGAGUACCUUUAAAUGAGGUCGUGCGAUGACUGGACCAUUGAUAAGCGCGCUAUUCGGACGAACACUCUUUCAACAUUGACGAGCUAUCGAGAAAGCCGGAGGAAGAGGUCCUAGAUAGUAAAUGUUACUUUAAGCCGAUAGCAACUACGGUGAAAGACCGCGGCUAUCACAAGUGAAGCUAAAAAAAAACGGCUCGGCGAGGUAGUGACUAACCCUUUCAGGUAUAAGUCAGACGACCAUCUGUUGUGAGAUUGUUCAAAGCUGCUUACUACACCUGGCUGUUCAUCGUUCCUUGCUUAAGAGGACACAUCAUAAUCCUAUUGUAACCACAAUAUUUUCGAUAACAAGGAUUGUUUCAAACCGCAUGAAGAAGGGCUGGGUGACUCGUGAGCAACUUUGAGCACGUUGCCAUGGUAACCCCGAACGUGCAACUGUUGCUAGCUUAAAUACCAGACGUAAAAUCGCAGGUACUAGUCAUUUGUUACCAAUAACAAAUAUGUUUGUGUAAAUUUGUCAGUCUUAACGAAAUAUGCUAUAUAUAAAAACAAAUAAAAAUAAUACAGUACUUUCGAAUGAUGUAUAGAUGUAGAUAGUGCAUGUGUAUUUGUCUUACGUUUUUCCAUUUUUGCUCUAUGUGCUUACAUUUUCCUUAUAAACUAUUGGCAAUACUGCAAGUAUUUUAUGACUGAAAAAUCAUAUCAAUUCAACUAAACGUCGUAACAGGAACCGAUUCACUGAACAGACAAAUUACAUCUAAACUGUUUUGACUAAAAACGGUAUACAUACGCGCAAUUUUUCAAUAAACUUUAUAAGCCGGUCGAGAUGGACCUAUAAUUUUUCUACUUAGGUAUUGCAGAAUUCCUCCGAACGCACUUAUUUAACUGUAUUUCACCAGCUUAGAGGGCAAGCCACACAAACGUAGGUAGGCUGGAAGUUAAAUUCUGUUUAGUAAUAAUAAUCAUAAGUAAAUCUUCACGUUGUUAAAGUCACGUAAGUAUGUCGUUUGCCGUGAAUACUGUCUUUAUUGGGCGUCCAGCUAAUGUGCGAUAUAAUCGGUUGAUACCCUGCCGUCUGCGUUGUUUGGAUGGAUUAUUGUCACCUCUGCUAACUGAGAUUCCGUGAUAUUAUUUGUUUUUGUUUGAAAUGCUGUAUCUUUAAGGCUGUUAACUGAUUGGAAAGAGUCCGUGUAAAAUAAUACAUCAUUAAAUGUAAGAAAGGUUGCAGUGUAGGCGGUACAAGCACUCUCUAUUUAUAACGGUUGCGUCCGAAGUCGUUCGGGCAAGUUUAUCGUUAUCUUCUACCCUAAACAAAUUAUAGCAAGUGUUAGGGCUGGUCGCUCUGUACAAUUUGAGAGCUGAAUUUCAGGACGAUCGGCGCGUCCUAAGAUCAGGCCAAGAAGAAGAAGAAGAAUGUUCAGAGUUUACAGUAACGCUGCUCAAACCUAGUCUUUUUUAGACGCAUAGCUUCGAGUUCACACUGCCAAUAGUAGCUGCUGAAAAGGGUCUGUGUCCUAAAUGUCUGCUGCCACUGGAAUCCACGAAUCGCAUCGGCGGUUCCUAGUGACAACAACUGGAAAAACUACAGCAUCGAACCCUUCCGAACAUUCUUCCUUUAGCUAAUCUAGAGAAUUUAUUGUAUUUAGGAAAACAUAAUACAUAUAUUAAUCGCUUAAGUAUCAUACAAUCUAUCUAAUACAGUCGUAUGUAUGGGAAGCUUCUAACUGUGCUGAAAUGCAUGCAAAUGACUCUAGGACACAGUGAAGGCGACGCAAAUUUCAGACCCAGAAGCGGUCAGACGUUUCUACAGCUUGCACAACAAUCACCUGACGAUAGCACGGGUUCGCUUAUACUCCUCUUGUUGUGUAUACCAUGACAAUAUUAGUUUGUCUAACAAAAGGUCAUUUGCAUUUAACUAAUAAGCAUGGACAAUAGUUCUCGUUACACAUACACUGCAUUACUGUUGUUAUUUCUAAUAACAUAUGAGUCGUACGCUGUUGUCGUGAAGUUUCUCGGUGGCGAUUCUCACAUGGUCCACACUUCUCUAAUACCUGACGGGAGUGGGGGAGACGAGGUCGGUAAUGAAGGAAUUCUCAUUAAGUCAAUCUAUGUUACACGUAUGGCUACCGUCACUAGUACACCGCGAAGCCCGGACACACCAGCGACUUCCUCAAUUGGAAAAAAUUAAAGUUUUACUGAGCUCGACUCUACCAAUAGCCGUGAGAAAAGCAGUGCAAUCGACAGUGGUUUUGACUCAUUUUGCACGCGCAACAGACUGGUCGGCCAACGCAGUCUUUUCACUGUGCACUGUGUAUGUACGCACGCGUAGUGGCAGCAAUUGUCGAUCUAUUGAAGCAGUCAGUACCGUAGAUACGCCGCUGUCGUAUCCCUCUAUGUUGUAUUUUCUGCUGCGUAACUGUGUGUAUGAAUGUGUGCUUAGUUAACAACACACGAUUGACUGCUUGCGCGUAAGCAAUGCUGCUGCUUACGAAGCAACAGCGAUGGCGGCGGCGGUAAGAAUGCCAGAAGUCAUCGUAUUUGCUCGGGGAAGCGAAGCUUGUUCCUGAUGUUGCCGCUAUAGCGCAGCUGACAGCAACGGACUCAGAUUGCCUUGCAGUCGCCAUUAAACAACGAGGAAAGAGGGCCACAAUGCAAUCAGCCUGACCGUCGUUGUCGUUACGUUGCGACCGACGCUGCCUUUCCUCGCCACAGCCGCCGCCGCAAGUCACAACCUACCCGUAGACUCGAGUCUCUCAUACAAAUAUACGCAGAAAGCACAGACAGAUAGAAGAAUUGUAGUGGUUAUGCUGUACGAUGUAACGAUGCAAGCCAGCCGUCAACGAUCGUUGGGGCAGUAACGGCUGUGCAUGCCACAGCCACGACAGGCAGCAUAACUAGGCUCAGACAGGACCUCCGGUAUCUUUGCCGAGCUAGCGGAUAUUCUCGGUUAGACAAGGCCCGAGCUACAGUUAUUUGGCUAUCGCAGAUUUCUCAUAGGCGUUUAGCUCGUGCGUCUAUGGCCGUUCACUGGCACUUGUCGCGUUGAGCUUCUCGUUGAGUGGCCUGCUGCGGAAGGCUUAAAGGAGAACACGUCGACAAGCGCAAUCAGCUAGCCAGCACGCAAAGGCUUAUGAGGACGAAAAGCGAGGGCUGUCGCGCCACUGCCGGAAGACACUGUUUAUCGCACAGCCUGCUGUAGCGGCCGAAAUUGCAGCUGCACGGUACCCGUGGCUGUGGUGGUAACAGUAUUAACAGACCAAAGGAAGGCACGCAAAUAUCACGUCCUCGGCCACACGGCGUCGUCUUCGGGUGACGGCGAAUCGGCCGCGCAGCUGCUGCUGCGUGCCUGUUUAGGCUGGUAGCAGUUGGGUGCCUAUCUACUCUAUCUGCAGGCUUAGCUUCGCUAUCAAACAAGAAUGGGGCUGCGGCCGGCUCCACUCACACUCCAGACUUCUGAGAUACGAGUCGAAUUGUGUUGCCCUUCUGUGCUAAGCGAAAAGGAAUAGCACCGCCAACAGCAGCCAUCCGUCUAGAAACCAACCUUUUCUACUUAACCAUAUUUUUCUUCGCAAGACAAAUUCAAUUACAAGCUCAACUUAUAAUGCCCUCUGACCGCCCCGACACCCGAGUAUGCACUACCGCAUUGUCACAGGAUAUCGUGCUAAGUAAACGUGAAGCCAUAGCACCUAUCCAGAUAAUUUAACCUCGUCAUAAAGCUUCCUCCCCGCGUACGUCAGAUCAUACGCUCGAACCAUUCUAUCAAAGUUAAGAAACAACGUUAGUGCACGCAUUGUUCAACUACGUAGUGACCAACUAACAGAUCAGCCGACCUGCUUAGCUAGAGUUUAUCCGUUGUGUUCAUCGUUCCACUGAGUGUCGUCACUCGUCGCGAAGUUAGUGCGGCUGGCGGCCAUCCUUUUGGAAAAAUACUCAAAUACGCGCUUACGAGCGCACGAUAGAGAACACGCUCUUUGUGCUGGAUUGGAUGUUGAGCAUUGUUGAAAGGUGGUAGUUGGUGAUCAUUGAUCUCGACUCUGCUUGAAGCGUCCGUUUCGCUAGGUCGUGCUGGAGGCUUUUACAAAUAGAAUAGUUCUUGUAUUCACGUCCGUACAGGAUAAUAUCUCACGUUAACAUGAGGAUCGUCGUGCCGUAAUGACUGCUCAUUUCCAAAUUGACUGUGGAUCGAGCUGAGACGUCUUCUGACACGAUGCAGAUAGACGCAGUAAUAGUCUUGACGCUGUUCGAGAAAGUUCUUGUUCUAUUUUGAAGGGGAGGUGGCGAGCUAGUUCAGUCGCGUGCAGACGCGUUAGGAAUACGGUGGGCUAUCUAAGCUAAUUUCAAUAGCAGUGCCAGCUUCUAGCAGUUUCCGUCUCUUAUUCCAGAUAAAAGAGAAUCGCAGCCAAUAGAUUUCGAUAAUCGCUAAAAUGGAGUCCGAAAUUAGAGUCAAGGGCACGGUGAUGAAGAGACGACGAAGCCAGCUCGUCGAGGAUAUAAAUACCCACAUGGCUAAAACCAACGACAAGAUGGCCAUUUCAGAGUCGAUAUUGCGUGACAUGCGCCGCUAUGCGGACAUGGACAUCGAUGAUCUGCUCUCCAAACUAACAGACACUGAGAUCGAACAGCUUUCAAUGAUGGUCGAUCCUGACGACUCAAUGAUACCUCCCUCCGAAAGAUGUAACUAUCGUACGAAUAAAGAACCAACAGGCCCUUUAAAUCGGCAGAGGUUGUUGAAGUUUUUAGAAACCUAUGCAUCUCAACAGGAGGAUGUACCCGAGGUGGUGAAGUACCAGCCUGGGGUUAAAAGAGGUCGAGUUUGGGAGCCACCGACAAAAAAAGCCAGUGAACAGACAACAGAUGACAGUGUUCCGAUCGAGCUAGAUAUUGAAGAGUCACAAGCGCUGGCCAACGCGACGACAGCUGACCUCGUGGACCUCGCAGCUAUCUUGGGCCUACACAGCACGUGGGCAACGUUUGAAACUUUGGUGAAAGCUCACAUGCCCCGACCCCUUCCGCCGCUACCCGACAACCCCACGAAUCCCGAAAAAACCGCGCAAAAGGUGUAUAAUGACGAUGACGAUAUGGUCGAGCUGAACUGGAACAACAUUUCAACAGUAAAGCGCGACGCUUUUCGAAUGCUCUUUGACGGUCUUCGGCGCAACACAAACCUUACAGCGUUGUCUUUAGCCAAUACGCGGCUAACGGACUCAGCGGCCGAACACUUGCUCGAGGCUCUUCGAUCUAACAAACAUCUACGUAUUCUUAACGUUGAGUCUAACUACCUCUCAGGCAACAUGCUCAAGCACAUCUUCGAAGCAAUCAACGUUACCCAAACCGUUACGGAGUUUCGUGCGGCUAAUCAGCGACCGUCCAUUCUCGGCAGUAAGGUGGAAAUGGAGAUUGCGCGGUUAGUAGAGCAAAACAGGACUAUACUUUCGGUGGGCCUACAUCUUAAUUUCGCUGACGCACGAACACGAGUUGCCGUUCACUUGGAGCGUAACCUCGAUAAAGUUCGGAAAUUACGGGUAGGAAAAGAUUGAGACCCAAAGGUAUUAAGUCUCUAGUAUACGACGCAUGUGUAAUAGAGUGGGCCUACGAAGCGGAGAUCUGCGAAGCACACUGGGUUACAAACCAUGGGGAUGAAAAAGAAAUAACAAAGCGAGAAGUAAUCCCGAAAACGUCUGGCUGUAUGAAAAGGGAAUACAUAAGGACGUGAAGCGAGCGGUGUUGAAUGAGACAAUCCGUUUUUGAUCGAUGUAGCUGUCACGUGGUAAACAUGACAACGUUGGCUAAAGCGCUUGUAGCUAUCGUGUCGUCUGAUAGCAAACUGGUAUAUUUUAUCUAAUUGACAGUACGUUAUCUGAAUCGGUGUCCGGUGAAAUCCGUCGCUAAUGAAAAUAAAAAUGUUUUCCAUUCCUAGCUGCCCCUUUUUCUUCUCAGGGAAUCAUAUGUUAGAUGUCACCGAAACAGCAGGUGCCGAUCUAGGGCAAAUUAUUUGAAAUUUCUGUUCAAGCAAAUUCCAACAAUGGCCAACUGGUAAUUGAAUAUCAACUUGGGUGAUGCAAAGGAUAUAAUGAAUAGCAAUCAUUGAUUUUCAACCUUUUUUUUUGAAUCUAUUCUUAGCAUAGCAUGUUUCGCCCAAAUUGAUACUCGUAUACUGAAAACUCGAAAGAAAAAAAAAAGUAUUGAGCCUGCAAUAGGCGUUUCUUCGUGAGCCUUAGACAGGCACAAAUCAUGAUAUCCGUAUUUCUAGUUGCUCCUCCAAGCCAGUCGGUUACUGUAACACAAGAUACACUCGAACGAAACUUCUUUUUAUUAGACUACAAAUCUGCAUUUUCCUAACCUAGGAAUAUGCAUACUUGACUCAUUAGUAAAAAAAUAUCCAUUUGUCGAAAGUAUAAUUCCACAAUAACGGGAACGUUCCCGCUGCUCACUUAUCUACCUUCUGCUAUAUUUUUCAUCGCGUCUAAAACAGGCUUUUUCUGAAAGCAGUAACAUGGAGACGUGCUAUGGAAAAUAUAUCUAUAACAAGAAAAAAAUCUUAUUACUAUAAAAUGUUAAUUA